rnacentral:tRNA from 1 species
GCCGGGGUCCCUUAGUCCGGUAGAGGGCCGGCCUGGAGAGCCGGUGGCCCUUUGGGCCGCGUGGGUUCAAAUCCCACCCCCGGCG